rnacentral:piRNA from 1 species
UUAUUUUGCUUUCCUUGGAUC